rnacentral:piRNA from 1 species
ACAAAACGAUAGGCUUAUGACAAA